rnacentral:sRNA from 1 species
GGGGAUGUACCGGUUUCGACGGGGGUGUGGAGGCAGGAAUAGCGGGCGGAUGCGCCUACCAUCCGAAAAAUGGGCAAUUUAGAAAUUAAAGAACAACGAUUCUUUAGAGCUGGUAGCCGCUUAAGGCUGCCCGUCCUCCCCGGGAGCGCUGCGGCCCGGGUGCAGGGCGCCGAUCAGCAGCGUCCGUGCGUGCGCAAAGCUUUGAGCGCACCAUGCAUCAUGAAGCUACCGACCUCAAGGCGUGACGGCUUGCCUUGAGUAAUGGAAACAGGCGGCUCAGGCCGCUGAAAUAACCGUCUGCGCCCGGAGAAGUUCCUGUCGAAGCGCUUUCGGACGGGGGUUCAACUCCCCCCAUCUCCACCA